rnacentral:rRNA from 1 species
UAGUCUACGCCGUAAACGAUGGAUACUAGUUGUUUGGCAUUUAUGCUGAGUGACUAAGCGAAAGUGAUAAGUAUCCCACCUGGGGAGUACGUUCGCAAGAAUGAAACUCAAAGGAAUUGACGGGGGCCCGCACAAGCGGUGGAGCAUGUGGUUUAAUUCGAUGAUACGCGAGGAACCUUACCAGGGCUUAAAUGUAUGUUGACAGGUUUAGAGAUAGACUUUUCUUCGGACAAUAUACAAGGUGCUGCAUGGUUGUCGUCAGCUCGUGCCGUGAGGUGUCAGGUUAAGUCCUAUAACGAGCGCAACCCCUGUUGUUAGUUGCCAGCGAGUCAAGUCGGGAACUCUAGCAAGACUGCCGGUGCAAACCGCGAGGAAGGUGGGGAUGACGUCAAAUCAUCACGGCCCUUACGUCCUGGGCCACACACGUGCUACAAUGGUAGGUACAAUGAGCAGCCACUGCGCGAGCAGGAGCGAAUCUAAAAAACCUAUCUCAGUUCGGAUCGU